CAAGUAGCUAGGGUCACAGGCGCCAGCCACCACUCCCCGCUAAUUUUGUAUUUUUAGUAGAGACAGGGUUUGCCAUGUUGGUCAGGCUGGUCUCGAACUCCUGACCUCAAGUGAUCCACCCGCCUUCACCUCCCAAAGUGCUGGAGGUUCAGGAUCUCUAAAUGAGAGGUAAACAAACUGAAGCAGGAGGCCAGAUCAAGGAGAUGCCCACCAUGAUGUCAGGAGGUGAGUUGGGAAAGGGCCUCAGGAGAUAGGGAUUCUUGCGUGGCCCCCAAAGGGGGUAGUGGGGUAGGGAAUAAGCUUCCUCCUACCCUAAGCACCAAUAAAUUCAAAACUUUAUUUAUGUAUUUAUCUAUUUAUGGUAAAAAUAUAACAUAAAACUCACUAUCUUAAAGUGUACAGUAGUGUUAAGUAUAUUUGCAUCAUCAUGCCACAGAUCUCCAGAAGUUUUCAUCUUGCAAAUGGAAACUCUGUACUCAUCAAACAACUCCCCAUUUUCCUCUCUCCAUAUCCCCCCACUAACUGCCAUUCUACUUUCUGUUUCUAUCAGUUUAACUACUUUAGAUACCUCGUAUACGUGGAAUCAUAAAGCAUUUAUCUGCAUUAUUUUACUUAGCUUAAUGUCCUCCAGUUUCAUUCAUGUUAUAGUGUAUGAUAGGAUUUUCUUAUUUUGAAGGACUGAAUAAUAUUCCAUUGUAUGUAUAUAUCACAUUUGCUUUAUCAUUUUUUCCAUCACUGAACAUUUAGGUUCCAUCCACCUCUUGGCUAUUGUGAAUAAUACUGCAAGCGACAUAGAUGUGCAAAUAUCUCUGUGAGAUCUUGUUUUCAGUUCUUUUGGAUAUAUAUCAAGGAAUGGGAUUGCUGGUCAUAUAGUUGCUGGUAAUUCUAUUUUUAAUUUUUUGAGGAACCUCCAUUCUGUUUUCCAUGGGCUCUACCAUUUUACAUUCCACAAACAGUGCACAAGUGUUUUAAUUUCUUUAUGUCUUUACCAGCAAGCACUUGUUAUACAGUCUCCCUUCUUUCUUUUCAUAGUGGGCAUCCUAAUGGGAGUGAGGUGAUAUCUCCUUGUGGUUUUCAGUUGCAUUUUUCUGAUGAUUAGUAAUGCGAACAUCUUUUCAUGUGCUUGUUGGCCAUUUGUAUAUCACUUUUGGAGACAUGUCUGUUCAAGUACUUUGCCCGUUUUUUAAUUGGGUUAUUUGAUUUUUGUUGUUGAGUUGAGGGAAUUCUUUAUAUAUUCUAGAUAUUAGUCCCUUCUCAGAUGUAUUAUAUGAGCAUAUUUUCUUCAAUUCCAUAAGUUGCCUUUUCACUAUAUUGAUUGUAUCUUUUGGUGCACAAAAGUUUUUAAGUUUGAUAUAAUUCCAUUUGUCUACUUUUGCUUUUUGUUGCCUAUGCAUUUAGUGUCAUACCAAGAAAUCAUUGGAAAUAUGUUUUUUCAUUUGUUUAAGCCUGUAGGAGGAAAUACGGUUUGAGUGAACUUUAACAUCUUGGAAAAGUAAGCCUUGGUCAAGCUUACAGACAAGAGACUAGGCUGGUUAUUCAUCCUGUGAAACAGCCCUACAAAUUUACCUACACCAUGGAAUCCAAGAUCCCACUGAUAAUGUGAACUUACUCCUUUUUGUUUGUCUUCUCCCUUCUAAUGUUAAUUUUUUUAACUGCAGGAAAAAUAACAAAAUAACAGAAUUCUUCUUUUAUAAGAUAGAUUUGGGAGCAUGUACUGAUCUUUUGAGUGAGGUGGAGAGGUCAAAAUAAAAAUACUAAAAUGUGAAUAAAACUUUGAGACUUAGAUGGAGACCUAGUUAAACCUUUUCUUCAAAUGCCAUCAAUGCCAAAGAGCAGCAGUUGUUUUACUAAUUCAUUCACCAAAAGUGAUUAUCAAACGUCUACUAUGUUCUGGGCACUAACUAGCCAAGGCAAUAUAGGUGUGUAUAAGAGGCAAGUCUCUGCUGUCUGUGAGUCUAUGCAGAAUCUCGUCUUCCGUUAGAAGCAUCAACAAACAUGUAUUGCCUGCCCUCCCUCUGCUAGAAGUUUGGGGAGACAUGUUAUGGACUAAAUGUUUGUGUCCCCCAAAAUGUACAUGUUGAAGCCUUAACGCCCAAUGUGAUGGUAUUUGGAAGUGAGGCUUUUGGGAGGUAAUUAGAUAUAAAUGAGGUCAUGAAGGUGUGGUCCCCAUGAUGGGAUUAGUGGCCUUAUAAGAAAAGAGACAAGAGAGGUUCUUCUCUUUUUCUGCCACAUGAGGACACAGUAAGAAGGCAGCUAUCUACAAGCCAAGAAGAGGGUCCUCACUAGGAACUGAAGCCUGCUGGACCUUGAUUUUGAAAUUUCCAGGCUUCAGAGCUGGGAUUCCUGUGUUUAAGCCACCACCCAGUCUAUGGUAUUUUGUAUGGCAGCCGAAACAGACUAAUACAAGGCAUAAGGGACAGUGAGAUGCUGUUCAUCCUCUCAAGGGUUCGUGAACUUGUUACCGUGGCCUCCGCAGUCCCUGUGUUCACUUAUCUUUGCUAAGGGCAAAUCACUGAUGAGAUGGACGCAUUUUAUAACUGGAGAAUAAAAGGGAUGAGGCCCUACAGGCUGAGGGUUACAACCAGGUGUCUGAAGGAGUCAGUGUCCCAAAGAGUGAGAAUAGUGGAGUGUGUAAGUGGAGAAUAACCAGGUAGGUGCUUAAAAGUGAACCUGUGUUGACUGUAUUCACUUAUUUCAUAAGACAACUUUUGGAGGCCAGACACACCACCUUUAAAAAGUAAUUGUAUAAGUGUCCUAGUGCUGUGCAUGAAGUCCCAUAAACUGGGUGCUUUUUAAACACCCAGUUGUUUUUACAAUAGAAGUUUAUUUUCCCACAGUUCUGGAGGCUGGAAGUCCAAAAUCAAGGUGUCAUCAAGCCUAUGCUUCAUUUGAAAACUAGAGGGGAGAAUCCUUUCUUGCCUCUUUUAGCUUCUGGUGUUUGGUGGUAAUCCUUGGUGUUUCUUGGCUUGUAGAUGCUUCACUCCCAUCCCUGCCUCCAAAGUCAUAUCGUCAUCCUCUCCCUGUGUGUUUCUCCUUCCUUUUUUCUUUUUUUUUUUUCUUUUUUUGAGACAGGAUAGCACGCUGUUGCUCAGGCUGGAGUGCAGUGGCAUGAUCAUAGCUCACUGCAACCUUGACUUCCUGGGCUCAGGUGAUCCUCCUGCCUCAGCCUCCCAAGUAGCUGGGACUACAGGCAUGCACCACCAUGCCUGGCAAAUUAAAAAAAGAUUUUUUUUUUUUGGUAGAGACGGGGUCUUGUUAUGUUGCCCAGGCUGGUCUCGAACUGCUGGGCUCAAUCAGUCCUCCUGCCUUGGCCUCCCAAAGUGCUGAGAUUACUGGUGUGAGCCACCAUGCCUUGCCUCUGCUUCCUCUUAUAAGGACAUCAGUCAUACCAGGUUAAAGGCUCACUCUACUCCACUGUGACCUCAUCUCAAAUAAACUAAUUACAUCUGCAACAACAUGAUUUCCAAGUAAGGUCACAUUCUGUGGUACUGGGUAUUAGGACUUUGUUGUAGUCAGGGUUCUCCAGAGAAACAGAGCCAAUAGGAUGGUUCCGUCUCUAUAGAUAGAAAUAAAUUUAUUAUAAGGAGUUGGCUCACAUGAUUAUGGAGGCUGGAAAGUCCCAAGAUCUGCAUAGUGAAUCAACAAGCUGGAGACCCAGUGGUUUAGUUCCAGGCUAUGUCCAAAGACCUGAGAUCCAGGAGAGCUAAUGGUAUAGUUUCAGUCUGAAGUCCAGCAGGCUUGAGACCCAGGGAGAGCUGAUGUUUCAGUUCAAGUACAAAGACAGGAAAAAAUUAAUGUCCCAGCUCAAAGGCAGUCAAGGAGAAACUCUCUCUUACUCAAGGGAGAAUGAGCUUUUUAUUCUAUUUAGACCUUCAAUGAUUGGAUGAGGGCCACCCACAUUAGGGAGGGUAAUCUGGUUUACUCUGUCUACCAAUAUAAGUGUUACUCUCAUCCAAAAACACUCUCACACAAACCCCCAGGAUAAUGUUUGAUUAAAUAUCUGGGCACCCCAUGACCCAGUUAAGUUGACACGUAAAAUUAACCAUCACACUUUAAAAUAUCUUUUUGGGAAGCACAAUUCAACCCAUAAAAGUAAUAAUCAUGCCUAGAGAACUUUUUUAGUUGAAGAGAUAGAAAGUUUAAUUCAAAUCUGUACCUGUUGCUUUGUACUGUUAUUUGAUAGGGGUCUUACCCCACUCCUAUCCAUCAAGGCUGGCAGAGGCUAUUUUCCAGGAUUUUAGGGUUGCUGGCAGCUGGGCAGUGACUCAGGAGAGUUGUGAGUGGGGACAGAAAGGAAGGAAGUAUGCCAAACAGUGCUAAAAAAUAUCCAAAGCUAAGAAAUGUGUAAUUAGCCCUGACCUCCUUUGCCCUUCCUCCUUACUAAAGCAGAGUGGGUGAAAUGGCUCAUGGGUUAUUAAUUGCCCUCUGCUGGUCACUUUACAGGCAUGGCUUCCCAUUUGCUUACUUUAUUUUCUAGGGAUGUCAGCAAAUUACCACAAACUUGAUGACUUAAAGCAACAGUAAUAUAUUGUCUCAUAGUUCUGGAAGUUAGAAGUCUAAAAUCAAGGUGUCACAGGGUCCAUGCUCCAUCUGAAGUUGUCCAGGGACUGAAGUGUCCAAUCCUUCCUUGCCUAUCCCUAGUUUCUGGUGGUUCCUGGCAAUCCUGGUGUUCCUUGGCUUGCAGCUGGCUCCCCACAAUAUCUGCCUCCAUUUUACAUGGCCUUCCCUCUGUUUCUCUGUGUGCCCUCUCUUAUAAAAACAGCAGUCAUUGGAUUUAAGGUCCACCAUAAUCCAGCAUGACUUUAUUUUAAGUUAAUUACAUUUGCAGAAACCCUGUUUCCAAACAUGUCACAUUCUAAAGUUCUGGAUAGACAUGCAUUUUGAGGGAGAUGCUAUUCAACCCCCUAUACUAAAACUCUUUUUCUGUGGAAGAGAAAGAGGCAGGGAGAGUAACUUGUCCAGAUCACUGUUAAGUGGUUGAGCUGAGCUUUCAUGUGUACUCAUUAGCCAAAGUGUCUUCCUUCUUCCCCUCUGCCCUCUUCCCUCUUUCCUUUCAUCGCCUAUUUUCUUAUCCAAGGAUGCCCUGGAUAUUAGUUUACCUUCAUUUGAAUGGAGAAAAAUGCCCAUUGUUAACUGUUAACUGUUGGGGUGAGGGGAUGGGAAGGUGUUCAGUGGAAGGUCUCUCAAUCUCCUUGAGAGUUAGUUUACUUUUUUUGCAAAAAUGGAGAAAAUGAAACUUGUCUCAUUUGGUGGUUGCAUGUAUUAUUAAAUCACAUACAACCGAUCACAAAAUCAAUGUGUAAGAAAGUGUCUGGGAAAAUCUUCCAAGGCAUACAGCCCUGAGGGACUUUUGUAGAAAAUCAUUUAGAAAGUAAGGCAUCCAUUACUCACCUAGGGUAUUAAUUAAUUUGUAUUCUUGAAAUUCUUUUUUUUUUUUUUUGAGAUGGAGUCUUGCUCUGUUGCUUAGGCUGGAGUGCAGUGGCGCGAUCUUGGCUCACUGCAACUUCCGUGCCCUGGGCUCAACCAAUUCUCCUGCCUCAGCCUCCCAAGUAACUGGGACUACAGGCACAUGCCACCACACCUGGCUAAUUUUUGUAUUUUUAGUAGAGACGGUUUCACCAUGUUGCCUAGGCUGGUCUCGAACUCCUGACCUCAACUGAUCUGGCCUUGGCUUCCCAACGUGCUGGGAUUAUAGGCAUGAGCCACCAUGCCCGGCCUGUAUUUUUGAAUUUCUACAUUGUUGACAUGCCUUGAAGUCUUAGACGAUGAGCAAGAAACAGAAAUCAUGUAGCACAUAUAUUCAACAUUCCCACGUAAUUUUAGGUUUCUAUUUGGUCUCUUUCAAGCGGUAAGUAAUUUACUUUGAUCUUCUCUGCUAGGUUAUAACAAAAGUUGACAUUGUAGCUCUGCCACUCACUAGAAAUAUCAUCUUGUUUAUGUUAUUUAACUUUAUGACCUCUAAUUGUGAAGGUUAAAGGAAAGAGCACAUAUAAAAGCUCCUGGUACAUUAUGGUUAGUCAGGAAGUAAAAGUUUUUUUUUUAAAUUGCAUUGUUAUUAUUAUUACUGUUAUUAUUAAUAUCAUUGGUAUGCAAGACACUGAGUUAUACAUAUUUGACUUGUGAACAUAUUUGUUAUUUUAAAAAUUGAAAUAAUUUGUCUUAAAAAAGUUACAAAAAUAGUACAGACAAUUCCCAUAUAUUUCGUCACCCAGCUUCCCCUACUGUUUAACAUCUUACAUAAGCACAGUAUGAUGAUCAACACUGGGAAAUUAACAUUGCUACAAUACUAUUAAGUAAACUAUAGAUUUGACUUGAAUUUGCAGGUUUUCCCAUUAACGGUUUUUUCUGAUCCAGGAUCCAAACCUUGAUCUCCAAUUGAACUUAGUUAUGAGAAGGAGACAAACUUAGUCUUUUAUAACUUAGUUUUUCCUUGUCUUUCAUGAUUUUGACACUUCUGAGGAAAGCUGGUCAGUAACCUUGUAGAAUGCCCUCCAAUUUGGCUUUGUCUGUAUUUUCUCUGAUUAAAUUGAGAUAAUACAAUUUUGGCAAGAAUACCUCAGAAGUAAUGUUGUGUCCUUUCUCAUACACCAUAUCCAGAAGUACACAAUGCUAGUAUAUAUUAUUACUGGUGAAAUUAACAUUGAUCUCUGGGUUAAAGUGGUGUCUUCCAGGUUUCUCCACUAAAUUACCAUUUUUCCCUCAGUGACUAACAGAUAUCUUGGGGAAAUACUUUAAAACUACGCAAAUAUUGCCAGGCGUGGUGGCGUAUGCCUGUAAUCCUAGCACUGUGGGAGGCCAAGGUGGGCGGAUCACUUGAGGUCAGGAGUUCGAGACCAGCCUGGCCAACAUGGUGAAACCUUGUCUCUACCAAAAAGUGGUGGUGUGCGCCUAUAAUCCCAGCUACUUGGGAGGCUGAGGCAGGAGAAUAGCUUGAACCCAGGAGGAGGAGGUUGCAGUGAGCCGAGAUCCUGCCAUUGCACUCUAGCCUGGGGGAUAAGAGCAAAACUCUGUCUCAAAACAAAAACAAAAACAAAACUAUGCAAAUAUCCUGUUUCUUGUACCUUCACCCACUAGUUUUAGCAUCUAUGGAUGAUUCUUGCCUGCCACAAUUAUUACUAUGGCAUUUGCCUAUUAGUGAUUUUCUGUUUCCUUCAUUUCUUCUCUAUUAAUAGGAAUUCUUCUCUAAGAGAGAGUUAUUCUCCUCCCUCAUUUAUUUUUUUAUAUCAAUAUGGGCUGAUGAAUAUUUAUUUUAUUUUAUGGGUUAUAAUCGAACACUGUCAUUAUUUAUUUUGUUGCUCCAGUGGUUCCAGCUCUGGGCAUUAGGAGCUUAAACAGGUUGGCUCCUGUAUCCUUUCAACAUGCCUCAUUAUUUUUAGUGCUUUCUUGCUUUUUGAUGCUUACUUUUUAAUCUAGGCUCAUCUUGUACUUUCUUUGCCCCAACCAUGGAAUUGAUCUUUUCUCCAAAGAACUCUGAUUCCUUUUAUUGGAAAAUGGACUUAGGAACCAAGAUCUUGGCAUUGAGUAGUCUCAUUGCUACUGGGGUUUCAUUGCUUCUGCGUCCUCUCAGUGGACAGAGUUUGGAAAUAUAUGCAGGUAUGCUAACACACAUACAUAUGUUUAUAUUUGUAAAUUAUAAAAUUGUAUAAUUUUAAAUUUCUGUAUUAUAAAAUUAUACAUAUGUUAUAAAUCUAUGUUUAUUUCAACAUAUAUCUGUAUAACUAUUAAGGACCACAAUGAAUACAUUCAAAGGUAAAUGUGUGAAUAUCUCUAAGGCAUACUUCUACUUAUCUCCUAAUAAUAAAGAGAGUAGGUCCAUUACACUAUUGCAGAGUCAUUAGUACUUGUUUACUUUCAAGUUUUAUGUUGUAAUUCAGAUAGCUGAGGUUGUCAGAGAAGAGACCUAGCCUUAUGUAAUUCUGGAACCAGAAAAAGAAAUCAUGGAACUAUCCAAUUCAUGUUUCCUAAACUGGUGUUCCAUGGAAUACUAUUUUAGGAGUUGUUAAUAGCAUUAUCCUGAUCAAAGGGUUUUGCGGUUCCAUAAGUUUGGGAAACAGCAUUGUAGAUCCUCCACACUUGUGUGACACUGCCAAUGGAUUAUUUUAUUUAUAUGUUUAUUUAUUUUUAGGGAUGGGGUCUUGCCAGGUUGCCCAGGCUGGCCUCAAACUCCUGGGCCCAAGCAGUCCUCCCACUUCAGUCUCCUGAGUUGCGAGAUUACAGGUGUGAGACACCAUGCCCAGCAUGCCUAUGGAUUAUUAAAGGAGUUUUUAAAAAUUUGUUUUCCAGGCUGGGUGCAGUGGCUCACAG
rnacentral:lncRNA from 1 species